rnacentral:rRNA from 1 species
GACGAACGCUGGCGGCGUGCUUAACACAUGCAAGUCGAACGCUGAAGCUUGGUGCUUGCACUGGGUGGAUGAGUGGCGAACGGGUGAGUAAUACGUGAGUAACCUGCCCUUGACUCUGGGAUAAGCCUGGGAAACUGGGUCUAAUACUGGAUACGACAUGUCACCGCAUGGUGGUGUGUGGAAAGGGUUUUACUGGUUUUGGAUGGGCUCACGGCCUAUCAGCUUGUUGGUGGGGUAAUGGCUCACCAAGGCGACGACGGGUAGCCGGCCUGAGAGGGUGACCGGCCACACUGGGACUGAGACACGGCCCAGACUCCUACGGGAGGCAGCAGUGGGGAAUAUUGCACAAUGGGCGGAGCCUGAUGCAGCGACGCCGCGUGAGGGAUGACGGCCUUCGGGUUGUAAACCUCUUUCAGCACGGAAGAAGCGAAAGUGACGGUACGUGCAGAAGAAGCGCCGGCUAACUACGU